rnacentral:rRNA from 1 species
AUUGAACGCUGGCGGCAGGCUUAACACAUGCAAGUCGAACGAGUGGCGGACGGGUGAGUAAUGUCUGGGAAACUGCCUGAUGGCGGGGGAUAACUACUGGAAACGGUAGCUAAUACCGCCUACCCUCCGAUGUGCCCAGAUGGGAUUAGCUAGUCGGUGGGGUAAUGGCUCACCUAGGCGACGAUCCCUAGCUGGUCUGAGAGGAUGACCAGCCACACUGGAACGGAGAAACGGUCCAGAAUCCUACGGGAGGCAGCAGUGGGGAAUAUUGCACAAUGGGCGAAAGCCUGAUGCAGCCAUGCCGCGGGUAUGAAGAAGGCCUUCGGGUUGUAAAGUACGUUCAGCGAGGAGGCGUUACCCGCAGAAGAAGCACCGGCUAACUCCGUGCCAGCAGCCGCGGUAAUAC